rnacentral:tRNA from 1 species
GUGGGUAUAGCUCAGUGGUAGAGUGCGUGCUUAGCAUGCGCAAGGUCCUGGGUUCAAUUCCCAGUACCUCA